rnacentral:rRNA from 1 species
CCCUAUCUUGUUUAGUUUAUCGGGAAAGAGAUAAAUUGUUUAUUAGAAGUUUUACAUAGGUUCAAUUUAGUAAUUUAUUCAAUUUAAAAAAAUCUCCUAAAUAGGGAGCUGCUAAAGGGAUCUGAUACCCCCGUACCCCCUACUUCUUUUACACCCUAGGUAGUUAUUAAGCUUCUUUUUGAAACCUAAUGAAUAUGGCGGUUUCAGUUUAUAACCAGAGAGGCUUGGGUUUUUAAUUCGUUGAUCCCCGUUAAAUCUCUCCUAAAUUUAUGCUUGUAUACCGUCGUCUAAACCAUCCCAAAGUAGGUGCUUUGAAAAGGAAUUUCAACCAUGUCAGACCUGGGCACAGCAAUGUUUAGGAACAGCUCGAGCCUCAAUAGAUAUUUUAUGGAAAAUAAAUUUAAAAAUUUAUUAAAAAGAGAAUUUGGUUUCAAUCACUUUUUACUAAGGGGUGAUAAAAUUUAAUCCUGAAAUGUACAGAUCGCCCGUCAAUCCCCUAUU